GAAACAGUAGCUUAUGUGGUAUAAGCGUCAGAUUGAAGCUCUGAAGAUAUACGUUCGACUCGUAUCUGUUUCAC
rnacentral:tRNA from 1 species